UACGAAGGGGGCUAGCGUUGCUCGGAAUCACUGGGCGUAAAGGGUGCGUAGGCGGGUCUUUAAGUCAGGGGUGAAAUCCUGGAGCUCAACUCCAGAACUGCCUUUGAUACUGAAGAUCUUGAGUCCGGGAGAGGUGAGUGGAACUGCGAGUGUAGAGGUGAAAUUCGUAGAUAUUCGCAAGAACACCAGUGGCGAAGGCGGCUCACUGGCCCGGUACUGACGCUGAUGCGCGAAAGCUAGGGGAGCAAACAGG
rnacentral:rRNA from 1 species